rnacentral:rRNA from 1 species
UACGGGGGGGGCAAGCGUUGUUCGGAAUUACUGGGCGUAAAGGGCGCGUAGGCGGCCUGCUAAGUCGGACGUGAAAUCCCUCGGCUCAACCGAGGAACUGCGUCCGAUACUGGUGGGCUUGAAUCCGGAAGGGGCUACUGGAAUUCUCGGUGUAGCGGUGAAAUGCGUAGAUAUCGAGAGGAACACCUGCGGCGAAGGCGGGUAGCUGGGCCGACACUGACGCUGAUGCGCGAAAGCCAGGGGAGCGAACGGG